CCCUUAGAUGUUCUGGGCGGCCCGCGCACUACAAUGGCGCUUUCAGCGAGUUCCUAUGUUGAAUUUUCCUGGGUAUUCUUGGAAGCGGCGUCUUGACUUGGGAUAGAUCCUUGUAAUUGUUGGUUUUGAACGAGGAAUUCCUUGUAAUCGCGGUUGAUCAGCUCGCGUUGAAUACGUCCCUGCCCUUUGUACACACCGCCCGUCGCUACUGCCAACUGAGAUGGGUCCUGAAUUGUUAGGAACGCCCGUCAAGGGGCCUACCCGGUCCCUAGUGCGGUGACGAGAAUAACUGUAAAUGGCAUAUCUUGUAGGGAGUAAAAGUCGUAACA
rnacentral:rRNA from 1 species